CACAGCCGCACGCCCCCACCUCCUUCCUCCCUCACUCGUCUCAGCAGCACGAACCCUAGCCGCCGCCCCACCCGCAUCCGUCCUCCAUCCCUGGUACGAGCUCUUCCUCCUCUGUCUAUGUCUGCCCCGAGCUCUUCCUCCUCCAUCCUCACAUGCUCCACCCCGAGCCCCGCCUCUUCCACCCCACCCAGACUUCGCCUCGUCCUAUCGUCCCGAGCCCCGGGCCCCGUUCGCCUCAUGUCCUCCUCGCUCCAUCCUCUCCCACGCCGCCGCCCCCUCCCUGCUCGCCUUGACGGCCUCCUCUCCUCCCCCUGCCGCCGGCCCCUCCCUUCUCCCUGUAGCAGAGAUGCCUCAGUAGGGCAACAGCGUCUCCAUGGACGUCAGCAGCAGCAGCGUCUCCAUGGACGCGGCGGCGUGACGGCUCGCCGGGGUGGAUCCCCUCCUCCGCCCCCAUCCUCCACCUCUCCGGCCGGCCAGUUGCAACGUUUAUUCUUCCUGCUGCUAAUUCUUAGACUUCACGGCUGGGUGGAGGAGCAGGGAUGGUCUGUAGGCUAGCGGUAGGGGGAUGGAGCAACAAUGUCUGAGCUUUGGGCGGCACACACAUUGUAGGGCUGAGGAGAGGUUGGAGGCAUUGGUGUGAGGGUGUUGUGCUGACGUGCUCCUCCAUGUCUCGUGCGAGUUCUUGGUGUCGCGAUCAUGGCUCCAGAGAGCAGCGCUUCAAGGUCACUUAAGCUUGAAUGGGUUAUCAAGUCUACUGGAACCAUUCAUGUUUAGGCUUGUUCAUUGGUUUUAGAACAGACACUCCCUUAAGUAUGUUUAAUCACAAUUAAAAGGAGGAAGCCAAAUUAUUGCAAUGUGUGGCUGCAGGUAAAGUUGUCAAGUUGAUCUGGUGCUUGCUUGAGCCGUUGAUUACUGCUGCUUUGCUAAGGUUCAACGUCUUACUACAUGAGAAAUUUAUUCCAAUGCUUUCUCAAUCCCUUUACCAUGAUGACUACCAGAGGAACCUUCAAUGUGUAUAGAUGGUGAUGGAUAUGGGGACACACAAGAACUAGCGAACUUAAUACCAGAUGCCCUCAACUAUGAAUUCUUUAAUUAUUGGAGGCUUUCAUAUUCAUAUCAAUACAAGGUGGGAUAUGAUGCAGGUACAUAUGCAAAUUUGUCUUCUGUUGGUAGUUUGUUGCUUGUUGCAGCAUCCCGAGCACAUAUGUGAGGCUAUGGCAGUCCUUUUUCGUGUAAUAAACUGAUGAUGAGAAGAAUAUGACAGGCCGACCAAUUGUACACUGUGAACACAAUCGUUGUUUGCAGUGUGAUGUUCCGUGAUUCCGGAUCGGGCGCACCUCGUCGUCGUGGAGAGCAUGAGUGGCUGGGUCUGCAUGGUCAGUGGAGAUGAGGUUCUUUUGGAUUAAUGCUUCUGCCUGAUGAGUUCCUCCCCUUUUAUGUCGCAGGCUGUAAGAUCUCUGCAUGUUGUUGCUUGCUUGUUCUGCCAGUGGUUUUGUUCACUUCCUUUUCUAUUUAUCUACUGCAUUCUUUUCUUUCCUAUGUGUUGUCAUGGAUAUUAGUUUCGAUUGUGUUUAUAUUCAGGAUUUGGCACAGAGUUUUGUUCUAUUUUGGCUCAUGCUUGCCGCAUGUGUGAUUGAACAUAUGGUGUUUUGUCUACUUAACCAUUUGUGUGUAGUAGUAUUCAUUUUAUCCUUGAUCAUGUGCGUAUGUACUACUGAAGUAGUUUUAAUUGAUAUAAAAGUUUUCAUGUAUUGCAGCUAUUUGACUUUGAGCAACCACAAUCUACAAGGUACGUUAGGAGUAAAUUAUAAUUUUCCAUCUCGAAAGCGUUUUGUAUGCAGAAUUGGUUAGCAUUAUCUCUAGAUACACCGUUUACUAUUAAGUAGAUAAUUUACAUGUUGUCGUGGACUAAAGGUGGUGAUAUAUACUUAUAUGCCCAUUCACAACUGCUAUUAUUUAAUAUGUUUCCCUUUGGGCAUCUACAAUGCUAGGAGCUUACAUAGGCGCUUACGAACAAAAUAAUAAAAUCUGAAGAACACCUAAGCGCCUCAUCCCUCAACGCUAGACGCUAAUUAACUAAACAACGUAGAUGCUAAGUGAUGGAAGAAAAAUGGCCAAGCGCCGGGUGCGUGAUUUGGCGUCGACGCCAGGGUUGACGCCAGGAUUAUAGCCGGCAACCGCUAAUCUGCUGGGAUUACGAGCCUGGCGCCGGGGCUAAGCGCCCAGUGAUGGAGAUGCCCUUAUAUCAUUGCGAAGUUGAAAUAUUGUUUUUCCUGGUCUUCUAGGUUCACAUAGUCCUCAAGAGUAUCCUUCUAUGUUGUGAUUCUAAAAAUAUUUUGAGUUAUUUCAUUUUGACUACUUCAUGCUUGAACUUGGAAUUGUUGGCUAAGCAGUUCUUGAAAUUUGAAGGGAGCGUGUGUAAGUCUGUAGUAAUUGGCAGUGCAAACAUGAUCAGCCUAUUGAUGAUGUAGUACUUAAUAUGAUCAUUAUCUGGUUUACUUGUUGUAUUUUAUUGCGCAUAGUAGACCACCAUGCAUCACCAACCAGGUAAAAAUGUUACAUCAGGGGGCUUUCAUGAGCUAAUUGCACAAUUCUUUAAGCUAUGCUCUGAACGUUAGUGGCCUUAUUCAAGCUUUGUAGGUUGCAGUGUAAUGUGAAGAUUCCAAGGGAUAUCAAGCUUUAAAUUGGGAUCAUUUGCAAAGCGGAAAUAUAGAGAUCGACAUCUGAUGGGAAGGAACAUGUCGAAUAUAAUGGCCAAACAAGGAAGGGACAUGAGGCUGUAAUAUCAUUUUCGUUCUCAUUUCUUGUAGGAAGUCACAACUAGGAGUGAUGGUGGAAAUAUAACUGCCAGUUAGUACCUUUAUGUUUUUCUAAAAGAACUGUGAGCUACCGUUAGUUUCUUUUCCUGGUUCGUAAUCAGUAUAUACAGUUACCACACAAUCAUGAUCAUCAAUGUUCACAACUGUCUGAAUCGUGUGAUUCAAAGCAGAACCCAUAUGAUUGCCACUCAUGCAUGUAAUGUGUUAUCUGCAGUAUAUCUCAAUUUUGAAUGUGACA